UACGUAGGGUGCGAGCGUUAAUCGGAAUUACUGGGCGUAAAGCGUGCGCAGGCGGUUCGUUGUGUCCGUCGUGAAAGCCCCGGGCUUAACCUGGGAACUGCGAUGGAAACUAGCGAGCUGGAGUAUGGCAGAGGGGGGUGGAAUUCCGCGUGUAGCAGUGAAAUGCGUAGAGAUGCGGAGGAACACCGAUGGCGAAGGCAGCCCCCUGGGCUAACACUGACGCUCAGGCACGAAAGCGUGGGGAGCAAACAGG
rnacentral:rRNA from 1 species